rnacentral:tRNA from 1 species
AGGAUUAUAGUUUAUUUAAAACAUUUGGUUUGCAAUCAAAUAAUAUUGGAAUUAACCAAUUUAUCUUA